rnacentral:tRNA from 1 species
GGAUGUGGCUCAGUGGUAGAGCACUCUCCUAGCUCGUGUGAGGCCCUGGGUUCGAUUUCAGCACCA